AGAGCUUGCUCUUAUGAAGUUAGCGGCGGACGGGUGAGUAACACGUGGGUAACCUGCCCAUAAGACUGGGAUAACUCCGGGAAACCGGGGCUAAUACCGGAUAACAUUUUGAACCGCAUGGUUCGAAAUUGAAAGGCGGCUUCGGCUGUCACUUAUGGAUGGACCCGCGUCGCAUUAGCUAGUUGGUGAGGUAACGGCUCACCAAGGCAACGAUGCGUAGCCGACCUGAGAGGGUGAUCGGCCACACUGGGACUGAGACACGGCCCAGACUCCUACGGGAGGCAGCAGUAGGGAAUCUUCCGCAAUGGACGAAAGUCUGACGGAGCAACGCCGCGUGAGUGAUGAAGGCUUUCGGGUCGUAAAACUCUGUUGUUAGGGAAGAACAAGUGCUAGUUGAAUAAGCUGGCACCUUGACGGUACCUAACCAGAAAGCCACGGCUAACUACGUGCCAGCAGCCGCGGUAAUACGUAGGUGGCAAGCGUUAUCCGGAAUUAUUGGGCGUAAAGCGCGCGCAGGUGGUUUCUUAAGUCUGAUGUGAAAGCCCACGGCUCACCCGUGGAGGGUCAUUGGAAACUGGGAGACUUGAGUGCAGAAGAGGAAAGUGGAAUUCCAUGUGUAGCGGUGAAAUGCGUAGAGAUAUGGAGGAACACCAGUGGCGAAGGCGACUUUCUGGUCUGUAACUGACACUGAGGCG
rnacentral:rRNA from 1 species